rnacentral:rRNA from 1 species
AGAACGAACGCUGGCGGCAUGCCUAAUACAUGCAAGUCGAACGAGACCUUCGGGUCUAGUGGCGCACGGGUGCGUAACGCGUGGGAAUCUACCCUUGGGUUCGGGAUAAGCACUGGAAACGGUGUCUAAUACCGGAUACGAGCUUCAGCCGCAUGGCUAGGAGCUGGAAAGAAUUUCGGUCUGGGAUGGGACUCGCGGCCUAUCAGGUAGUUGGUGAGGUAAAGGCUCACCAAGCCGACGACGGGUAGCCGGCCUGAGAGGGUGACCGGCCACACUGGGACUGAGACACGGCCCAGACUCCUACGGGAGGCAGCAGUCGGGGAAUAUGCGACAAGUGGGCGAAAGCCUGAUGCAGCAACGCGCGUGACGGGACGAAGGCCUUCGGUGUUAAACCGCUUUUUAGAGGGAAGAAGCGAAAGUGACGGUACUGCAGAAAAAGCACGCUAAC